UGACUGGGUUGAGGUGGUGGUUGUGGUGGUGUUUGGUAUGGUUGGAAUGGUUGUAGAGGGUGUUGGUAGUGAUGGUGAACGUGACUGGCUUAUGUUAAAGGUGGUUGUGGUUGUUGGGGAUGGUGGUGGUUGUGUGACAGUGGUGGGUGCAGCGGACGCAACGGUGUUGUGGUUGUUGGGUGUGGUUGAGGAUUACGAUGGUGGUGGUGGUGGAGGUGAUAGGUGGCGGUGGUCGUAGUCGGAGCGGGCUAAGCGGUGGUGGUGGUGGUGUAAAAAGGUGUUUAUCGGACGGAGUGGAAGUGGUGGUGGUGGCGGUGAUACGAUUAUCAGGGAUGAGAGAGAGAGAGAGAGAGAGAGAGAGAGUGUGUGUGUGUGUGUGUACUCCUAUAAUCAGCAAAUUGCAGUCACUCGUUCGCUUGUUUCACCUCCCUGUUUCAGGCCUUCUCUCCCCUUCCCUUCCUCCCCGCUCCCUUCCUAACCUGCCCGCCACCCUCUCCCCGCUUUUUCCUGCCUGUCCUCCCCUGCUCCUCGUGUCCCAGGUGACCCAUGAACUACCUCUAACAAUGGUGAUGAAGAACCAGAAGUGGGUUGUAGGUGACGAGAUAACUAUCCCAGGUCAUCCCGGAAGUGGCGAGGUGACCCCAUACAGCUCCACAAGGUCGUGGAGGACACCAGACAUAGCCACGUGGUCGCCUACACUCAGCCAUCCACCUCACCUGCCCCAGACUGCUACCCGGACACCAUCCAGCCACAAGAACCCAGAUAAAUAAAUUGUUAUCUUUCCAAGGGUUGAGGAGAACAUGGUCGUGGUUCAAGUGAAGCCACUACAGCCACUCCCUGACAAGCCUUCCACACCGACAGAUAGUGGCAGCAGACACACAAGAGACGAUGGUGUGGUGGACAAGAAGAUGCAGAGAGACAGCAGACAGAAUGGAAGCUACAGAUGAAAGAAGAGCAGGUCAAGCCAUGGCAGCAGACACAUAGACAGACAGAUUGGAUAAGAAAGAAGUAUUAUUUAGUGAGACAGGACCACUGGAAGCUGUCAGAGUGCUGUGGCACGUGGCAAGAACCAAGUGUUCAGGAGCACACACUGUCCCUUCACCAGUCAGCAGGUCUGGGCGGCUUGGAAACCUCACUACAAACUGAAGACCCGUUCACUUGAAGGACACAGUUGGAGUCGGACACAAGAUCCAAGAGGGAGUUAUUUUUAAACGAGAGCUUCAGGCAGAAAAUUCGAGUGGAUUUUCAACUCUAAAAAUAACUUUUUUGGGGGGGGAUAUUUUGAACCUUCUUUAUCUUGAAAAAUAACUGCAGAUAUCAUGACUCUAGCUGGAAAUUGACCUGAGCAAUGUAGGGUUUGCUGCAGUGAGAUUACCAAGGCACGAGUGUCUGGGAUUUAAAGAUGAUGGAUAUGUGUCCUGUGUGCUGCUGUGCUGGGAGGAGAGGAGCAGCAGCAGUCGUGGGGCUCUGUUGCUGCUGUCACUGGUGCAGCUGUUCACUCCUGCAGCUACCUUCCCUCAACAUACUGUGUCUUCCCUCACCUGCAAUGAACAACUAUGAACAAUACUUCUCCUGCGAUGAGGAACAGUGAAUAACACCUCUCUCUCUCUCUCUCUCUCUCUCUCUCUCUCUCUCUCUCUCUCUCUCUCUCUCUCUCUCUCUCCACAGUAUGUC